AGAGCAGGAGGAAGAGAGCGGUCCUGUGAGCCUCGCUCAGGAAGUAGCAAGAAAGAUGAUGCAGCAGCACGCGCUGCUAAAGAAGACACAUCAGAGGAUAAAGGGAAAUCAUCAACAAAUUAAAUACCUGGUCCAGCAAAAUACGCAGCUAGACCAGCAGCAAUUAGAAUAUCUUGCUGAGCUGGAAAGGCUUCAGAAGCUCAUGCUCAGCUAUGUCUGAAUUAAUUUUUUGAUUAAAAAAUGUUAUUUUUUGGAAA